rnacentral:rRNA from 1 species
UUUUUAUGAGAGUUUGAUCCUGGCUCAGGAUGAACGCUGGUGGCGUGCUUAACACAUGCAAGUCGAACGAAGCAUUUACGACAGAUUUCUUCGGAUUGAAGUUGUUUAUGACUGAGUGGCGGACGGGUGAGUAACGCGUGGGUAACCUGCCUUGUAC